rnacentral:rRNA from 1 species
CAGAAUGCUACGGUGAAUACGUUCCCGGGCCUUGUACACACCGCCCGUCACACCAUGGGAGUGGGUUGCAAAAGAAGUAGGUAGCUUAACCUUCGGGAGGGCGCUUACCACUUUGUGAUUCAUGACUGGGGGGAAGUCGUAACAAGGUAACCGUAGGGGAACCUGCGGUUGGAUCACCUCCUUACCUUAAAGAA